UACGUAGGGGGCAAGCGUUGUCCGGAAUCAUUGGGCGUAAAGCGCGUGUAGGCGGCUCGGUAAGUCCGCUCUGAAAGCCCGGGGCUCAACCCUGGGAGGCGGGUGGAUACUGCUGAGCUCGAGUCCGGAAGAGGCGAGUGGAAUUCCUGGUGUAGCGGUGAAAUGCGUAGAUAUCGAGAGGAACACCUGCGGCGAAGGCGGGUUGCUGGGCUGAUACUGACGCUGAUGCGCGAAAGCCAGGGGAGCGAACGGG
rnacentral:rRNA from 1 species